CAGAGUUGCAAGUCUGAGAKAACACCUAAGCAUAAGGUGCCGGGGCUUCUCCCGUUU
rnacentral:tRNA from 1 species